GACAGUAUAGCUCAGUGGUAGAGUGCAUGCUUAGCAUGCACAAGGUCCUGGGCUCAAUCCCUAGUACCUCCA
rnacentral:tRNA from 1 species